GUGGGUACCAAAGAAAGGUUUACCAAAUGUACCAUCAAACCACAUGUUGUCAAUUUUUAUAUAUUUUAUCUAGUUAUAUUCUAUUUUUUCACAGUUUUUUUUAAAUAAAGUAGGUCACACCAGUGACUUUAGUUAAAAUCAUGAGCUAAAUGAGAAUAUUUUAAAUAACUGAAAAGACUUGUACUUGACAACUUUCCUAUACUUAAAGGAGAACUCCGGUGUGAAACUGACAUAUGACUGGAUGUAGUAAAACAUGAUAAUGUGUUGAAUAGCCCACCUCUGUUCUCCUGCAGCUUUCCGAGUUCCAGCAAUUUUAUUCUGUUUGUUCAAACACCCUUUAGACUGUGUGAUAUGGGACAUAUUUUGCUGCUGCAGAUAAAUCGCUUUUUACACUGUUAACGAGGCCCAAAAUAGCUCCACACCUCAUUGGUAGAAUGAGAGAGCCCUGACAUUUAAAACGAGGCAUUAAUAACAUUUUAAAGUACACAAGAAGUUUAUUAAAAACCACUGUUUACAAUCUUAACAGAAAAGUCAUGAUCAGUAGAGUGACGAACAAAAUUAGUGUGACGAGGAAAGCUGCGGGAGAACAGAGGUGGGCUAUUCAACAACGGUUAGUACUCUUUAUCAUUCUUUACUACACCAAAAGUCAAUUUCACACCACAGUUCUCAUUUAAUUUGGCCCUAUUUAUCUCAUAUUAAUCAUUUAUUUCAUAAUCAUGUGAAGAUUACUGCAGUUAAAAUAUGGAAAUCACCCUUCACAUACCAUUUUGAGGAUAAGCAUUUUUUAAAUACUUUAUUGUUUAUACUGUAUUUUUCUUCUUAUUUAUUUUUUAAUAUGUACGUGUACAGGUACAAAUAUGUAUUUAUAGACAGAACUAACAACGUUUUUUUACAGAUGACGAAGAUGAAGACUACCAUGCAGGAUCUGUCUGCAAGUUCUGUGCCCAUUGUGAGCACUGCGACAGCUGCGACAAAUGCCCAUGUAAAAAGGGAGACAAGUCAGAACACUGUGAAUUCUGUGAGAUGUGCAAUAUGUGCGCUGUCUGUCCUGUUUGUGACACCGUGUGCCAGCCAGGUGGCUUUGUAGACUCUGUGACUGGAUCCAUCUACAAGACUGUCGCAGACAUCUUUGAGGAUGAUGAUGACGACAAUUAAGCCCUCCAUCGCCACUAUGUGGCCAGUAAAAUGCUGCAGAUGGGUUUGGGGGAGGGGGGGUAUUUAAAAAAAUUGAAGGGGGUUUAAUACUGCAGUCUUUAUACUUAAUAAAUUAUUCUCCACCGUUUAUUAUUUUUUAAAUUUGACAGCACUGCACAAAUGCAUUCAAUACAUGGAACCAAACUACAAUGGAAAAACAUGGACAGAAUGACGUAAACCUAUUAAUAAACCUUCAUGUUUUUGUUUGCUGGUUUACAGUGUAACUAACAACUAAUAUGAACCAUCAUUGUAUACAUUAUUGUGUUGUUUUGACACAGCUGCUGGGUGCUAUUAAAAACAACUAUGGGGACA
rnacentral:lncRNA from 1 species